CUCCCAGCACGGGGAGGUAGUGACGAAAAAUAACGAUACGGGACUCAUCCGAGGCCCCGUAAUCGGAAUGAGUACACUCUAAACACGUUCCCGAAAAUCAAUUGGAGGGUAAGUCUGGUGCCAGCAGCCGCGGUAAUUCCAGCUCCAAUAGCGUAUAUUAAAGUUGUUGCGGUUAAAAAGCUCGUAGUCGAAUGUGUGUCCCGCGCCGCCGGUUCAUCGCUCGCGGUGUUCAACUGGCGUGUCUCGCGGGACGUCCUGCCGGUGGGAUCACGUAUCGUUUCGGCGGUGCGUCUCCCAACUCGUCUCCGCCUUGCGCGGUUGCGAAUCCCAUCGCGGUGCUCUUUAUUGAGUGUCGAGGUGGGCCGGCACGUUUACUUUGAACAAAUUAGAGUGCUUAAAGCAGGCCAGUUUUGCCUGAAUAUUCUGUGCAUGGAAUAAUGGAAUAGGACCUCGGUUCUAUUUUGUUGGUUUUCGGAACCCCGAGGUAAUGAUUAAUAGGAACGGAUGGGGGCAUUCGUAUUGCGACGUUAGAGGUGAAAUUCUUGGAUCGUCGCAAGACGGACAGAAGCGAAAGCAUUUGCCAAAAACGUUUUCAUUGAUCAAGAACGAAAGUUAGAGGUUCGAAGGCGAUCAGAUACCGCCCUAGUUCUAACCAUAAACGAUGCCAGCUAGCGAUCCGCCGACGUUCCUCCGAUGACUCGGCGGGCAGCUUCCGGGAAACCAAAGCUUUUGGGUUCCGGGGGAAGUAUGGUUGCAAAGCUGAAACUUAAAGGAAUUGACGGAAGGGCACCACCAGGAGUGGGGCCUGCGGCUUAAUUUGACUCAACACGGGUAACCUCACCAGGUCCAGACACCGGAAGGAUUGACAGAUUGAGAGCUCUUUCUUGAUUCGGUGGGUGGUGGUGCAUGG
rnacentral:rRNA from 1 species